rnacentral:rRNA from 1 species
GCCAGACUCCUACGGGAGGCAGCAGUGGGGAAUAUUGGACAAUGGGGGGAACCCUGAUCCAGCGACGCCGCGUGAGUGAAGAAGUAUUUCGGUAUGUAAAGCUCUCUCAGCAGGGAAGAAAGAAAUGACGGUACCUGACUAAGAAGCCCCGGCUAACUACGUGCCAGCAGCCGCGGUAAUACGUAGGGGGCGAGCGUUAUCCGGAUUCACUGGGUGUAAAGGGAGCGUAGACGGCCAUGCAAGCCAGGGGUGAAAGCCCGGGGCCCAACCCCGGGACUGCCCUUGGAACUGCAUGGCUGGAGUGCGGGAGGGGCAGGCGGAAUUCCUGGUGUAGCGGUGAAAUGCGUAGAUAUCAGGAGGAACACCGGCGGCGAAGGCGGCCUGCUGGACCGCGACUGACGUUGAGGCUCGAAAGCGUGGGGAGCGAACAGGAUUAGAUACCCGUGUA